rnacentral:rRNA from 1 species
ACGGAGGGUGCAAGCGUUGUCCGGAUUUAUUGGGUUUAAAGGGUACGUAGGCGGAAUGUUAAGUCCGAGGUGAAAGCCCACCGCUCAACGGUGGAACUGCCUUGGAUACUGACAAUCUUGAGUGCCGUAGAGGUAGGCGGAAUUCAUGGUGUAGCGGUGAAAUGCAUAGAUACCAUGAGGAACACCGAUAGGGAAGCCAGCUUACUGGACGGUUACUGACGCUGAGGUACGAAAGCGUGGGGAGCGAACAGG